GGUUAUUCAAUGGUGGAGUAGUUUCGAGGAAGGCCAAUGCAUACUUUACAAGAGUACAAAAGUUAGAGGGUUUUCCCGUUGUGCUUGAACUUGGCAAAAUGUUAAGACUAAACCAUAGAUGACUUUACAUAAAUGUCAUUUCUAAAAAACUCUAAUUCAAAAGUAACAAGGAAAAUUUUGAGGAAAGAAAAUUGGGCAAAAUUCAAUCCGUAGACAGGUUGAGGGGUUUUCAGGAUAGGCUGAAUUCCACUCCAAAGUACUUAUUUUCAAAACUGUGCUCUUUACAUUCGAGGUUAUAUUGUAAUUUGUCUGCUAACUUCAACUUUCCUGUGUGGAUUGUAGCUUUAAAAUAUUGUAUUCUGUCUAUUAAAGAUUGCUGAAGUCAGUUGAUCACAACGAUGUAAGAUAAAAGACUUCAAAUACAAAUAAUCUGAACUUUCCCACCAAGACACAGGACAUUGACAUGAACAAAAAUGCAACCUGAAUUCGCAGUUAGACGUAUAUUGAAGUGAGAAAAUGUUUGGACGAUUAAACAAAACAGGACGUGACGCCCAUACUUGGAACUCACAACACAGAAAGAUAAGAAAACACUCUCGAAAGAUUUCUGAAACCCCUCUAGUAACAGCCGUGAUUUCACUUAGAAGCAAACAAGAGUACAUAUACAAACAUACAGAUUUAUAUAAGGUAUAUACACGCAUAUAAAUAUAUAUCAUUUAUAUAUUUAUAUAAGUUUAUGAUAUAUAUAUAUAUUUAUAUUAUAUAUAUAUAUGAAAAGUUGAUGGCAGU